CGGGAACUCUGACACAGGUGCUGCAGUGGCUGUCGUCAGCUCGUGUCGUGAGAUGGUUGGGUUAACGUCCCGUAACGAGCGCAACCCUUGUCCUUAGUUACCAGCACGUUAUGGUGGGCACUCUAAGGAGACUGCCGGUGACAAACCGGAGGAAGGUGGGGAUGACGUCAAGUCAUCAUGGCCCUUACGGCCUGGGCUACACACGUGCUACAAUGGUCGGUACAAAGGGUUGCCAAGCCGCGAGGUGGAGCUAAUCCCAUAAAACCGAUCGUAGUCCGGAUCGCAGUCUGCAACUCGACUGCGUGAAGUCGGAAUCGCUAGUAAUCGUGAAUCAGAAUGUCACGGUGAAUACGUUCCCGGGCCUU
rnacentral:rRNA from 1 species